AAUGCAGCAGCUAGAGUUCUUACUAGAACCAGGAAGUAUGACCAUAUUAGCCCGGUUCUGUCAACACUGCACUGGCUCCCUAUUAAACAUCGUAUACAUUUUAAAAUCUUGCUAAUUACCUACACUCAAAAAAAGGAAUUUUGCUGGCUGUUGCAUUUACUUAAGUGCAACGUGUGUUUUGUACUACCUAAUUUAAUGUUAAAUUAAAUAAACAUGAAUAAAUCUCAUAAGAUUUGCUUGAAAUUCAACUGCUUAGCUUUCACUUGAUUCGAUUUUGUCAAAAUAACAAGAAACAAUCAAGUACCCACGCGCUUCCUGGAAAAUGAUUACCUUUAUCGCGAUAACACGUCCCGAGAUGAAGAUUUGAAAUAACGUAAAGAAAACACCUGAGGGAAGCCGUUGAUGAGCGCGCACAUGGAAAGGUCCAUCUUGCUAUUUGCACAGUAAACACAUUCAAAGGCGUUAUAGUGGGAUAGGUGGUAUGUGGAGUUGUAAGGGUUGCACAGAAACUGUAUCAAGUAGGUCCAAGCUUUUGCAUCACUACAAGUUAAAGCAUCCACAUUUUGGACGUAGUUCUCGCUUUCCAUGUACGUACCAUCACUGUCCAUGCACAUUUAAGACAUGGAAUGCACUUAUAGUCCAUCAAAGUAAAAUUCACUCAGCAGAGGACACCUCUAAACAGACAGCAAUAUUCAGCUGCCACCUUUGCGCUUGUGGUGAUUUAGCAUCAGAGAGGGAUUAUUUUGCUCAUAUAAAUGCACAUCUCAAAAGACAUGAGACUGUCAUCUGUAUGUUUUUAGGCUGUGACUUUAAAACAAACAUUUAUUGCACAUUUAAAUCACACAA